rnacentral:rRNA from 1 species
UCCUACGGGGCGCAGCAGUAGGGAAUCUUCGGCAAUGGGCGAAAGCCUGACCGAGCAACGCCGCGUGAAUGAAGAAGGCCUUCGGGUUGUAAAAUUCUGUUAUAAGGGAAGAAAGGUGAUAGGGGGAAGUGACUAUCAAUUGACGGUACCUUAUGAGAAAGCCACGGCUAACUACGUGCCAGCAGCCGCGGUAAUACGUAGGUGGCAAGCGUUGUCCGGAUUUACUGGGUGUAAAGGGCGUGCAGCCGGAGAGACAAGUCAGAUGUGAAAUCCGCAGGCUCAACCUGCGAACUGCAUUUGAAACU